GCAAUAAAUUUAUCCUCAAUCUAUUGUCAUGGAUGGGCAAAUGUAGGGAAACACAGAGCCGCUCAUCUAUUUUUUUCUCAAGUCAUCCCAGUCAAUAAUUAUAGCAUAGGCGAUUACUAAAUUGUUUAGAUUAUUUAUUGAUUUUAGGGAAAAUCACAAUAAAACUCCUCCAACUUUCCACAGGAAACACUUUUCAUCUAAAAUUUCAAAAUUUUCAUUUAGCCUCUUAAAUUUAUUUCACUAUGUCAAAGUAAUACUUCACUACAUCAAGAUACUUAUAUAUCUAUCAAAUUGGUAUCCAUACAUGGAU
rnacentral:lncRNA from 1 species